ACAAGUGUGACAUCAGCGGUCAUGGAGAGUCUCCAUCCAGCUGGAUCACUGUCACAGAGGAACACACCACCUCACCUCCACCUACAUCCAAACCUCCACCUACAUCCACACCUCCUCCUCUUACCAAUGUGUUCUUGUUUGUUGGAACAGUCUGUGUUGUGGUUCUACUGGUUUCUCUGGUGGUUCUGCUGGUGACACAACAUGUUUGCACGAAAUGUGAAGGUAACUAACCUUCCUGCCCCUAGAUGAUAACCAGAUCCCCCAAUGGUGAGCAGGGAUUGGACAACGAGGUUGAUGAUGUCACCUAUGAAUGAAUUAUGAAUUUAAUCAGUGCCAUAUGUUUAUCAACUGUUUUCACUUUGCUUUUGUUUUUUGAUCCAGUUCAUAAACUUUAGACUUCAACACUGAUCAUGUUCCAUAUUCAGUUACAUGUUUGGCUCUUCUGAUUAGAUUGCAUAAGGCUGUUUAUGCACGCAUCUUUGCUGUUUGUUGUUAGAUGACAGGAUUUUGCAAACAGCCUUUGUAAAUCAUGAAUUGUAAAUACUUAACCACAUUCUGCGCACUUUGCAGUAGUUCGUUAGGGCUAGCUUUUUUGUGCUUAUUUUAAUUUCCAGUCCACUAGUACCAUGUGCAGCAAAGUUCCACAGUCUACGACCAGAUUAACUCAUGACACACCUGCACCUGGCUCUAUCAUCACAUUUUAAGACCUGUGUCAUGCACAGUACUGCUCUUCUGUUCUUGCUUCUUGCAAAUAAACUGUUACCUAAAUAAAAUGA